AAACAAAAAUUGAAAAGAAAUCAACAAGAAAGGUAUAAAAGGUGAGAAUUGAAGCAAGAUUGAUUGCAAGCUAUGUGUCACCACGUUAUUGAUACUUUGGAAGAAAUUUUUACUUAUAUGUCUUUGUUUAGGAGUAAUAUUUGGUAUGUUUUAGUUAGAUUUUCUUGUCAUUUAUGCUUUAGUAUAAUUUUAGUUAUUUUUAUUA